rnacentral:rRNA from 1 species
GCGGAAGGAUCAUUGUCGAAAGCUUGUAGCAUAGUGACUUGAGAACUUGUACAAAUAUAACUCUUUUUUUGGGGCCAUCUUUUGGUAAGACCUCGAUGAACAAAAACUCCGACGCAGCAGCGCCAAGGAAUUUUAUAAUGAGAUUCGCACAGUUCGUUUCUAGUGACUGUGUGUGUUGUCUUUUUAUUUAAAAUGACUCUCGGCAAUGGAUAUCUCGGCUCUUGCAUCGAUGAAGAACGUAGCGAAAUGCGAUACGUGGUGUGAAUUGCAGAAUCCCGUGAACCAUCGAAUCUUUGAACGCAAGUUGCGCCCAAAGCCAUUAGGUUGAGGGCACGUUUGCUUGGGUGUCAUCUGCAUUAUGUCGUCCCUCUCGUGUUUUGGAGUGGGCGUGGAACAUGGCCUCCCGGGCCCAUCCUUGUGUGUGGUUGGCCGAAAACUUUGUCCCUGAUGGUGUUCAAUGUCUCGGCGUGCGGUGGAUGUACCAAGUGUGCGUAAUGGCGCGCCUUGCAUGGCCAUAUUGUGGCGGUUAGACCCAAUUAAAAUGUCGGUGUUGGCUCUUUGAUUGCGACCCCAAGUC